rnacentral:rRNA from 1 species
AGUUAUCGUUUAUUUGAUAGUACCUUACUACUUGGAUAACCGUGGUAAUUCUAGAGCUAAUACAUGCAUAAAACCCCAACUUCGGGAGGGGUGUAUUUAUUAGAUAAAAAACCAAUGCCCUUCGGGGCUCUUUGGUGAUUCAUAAUAACUUCUCAGAUCGCAUGGCCCUGCGCCGGCGACGGUUCAUUCAAAUUUCUGCCCUAUCAACUUUCGAUGGUAAGGUAGUGGCUUACCAUGGUUUCAACGGGUAACGGGGAAUUAGGGUUCGAUUCCGGAGAGUGGGCCUGAGAAACGGCCCACACAUCCAAGGAAGGCAGCAGGCGCGCAAAUUACCCAAUUCUAAUACAGAGAGGUAGUGACAAUAAAUACUGAUACAGGGCUCUUUUGGGUCUUGUAAUUGGAAUGAGUACAAUUUAAACCUCUUAACGAGGAACAAUUGGAGGGCAAGUCUGGUGCCAGCAGCCGCGGUAAUUCCAGCUCCAAUAGCGUAUAUUAAAGUUGUUGCAGUUAAAAAGCUCGUAGUUGAACCUUUGGCCUGGCUGGCAGGUCCGCCUCACCGCGUGCACUUGUCCGGCCGGGCCUUUUCUUCUGGAGAACCGCAUGCCCUUUACUGGGUGUGUUGGGGACCAGGACUUUUACUUUGAAAAAAUUAGAGUGUUCAAAGCAGGCCUUUGCUCGAAUACGUUAGCAUGGAAUAAUGAAAUAGGACGUGCGGUCCUAUUUUGUUGGUUUCUAGGACCGCCGUAAUGAUUAAUAGGGACAGUCGGGGGCAUCAGUAUUCAAUUGUCAGAGGUGAAAUUCUUGGAUUUAUUGAAGACUAACUACUGCGAAAGCAUUUGCCAAGGAUGUUUUCAUUAAUCAGUGAACGAAAGUUAGGGGAUCGAAGACGAUCAGAUACCGUCGUAGUCUUAACCAUAAACUAUGCCGACUAGGGAUCGGGCGGUGUUUCUAUUGUGACCCGCUCGGCACCUUACGAGAAAUCAA